UAGCUCAGUGGUAGAGCGCUUGCCUUGCAUGCAUGAGGUCCUGGGUUUGAUUCCCUA
rnacentral:tRNA from 1 species